rnacentral:rRNA from 1 species
UGGGGAAUCCUGGUCAAUGGGCGAAAGCCUGAACCUGCGACGCCGCGUGAGUGAUGAAGGUCGUAAGAUCGUAAAACUCUUUUCAGGGAUCUUAAAGCCUGUCUGUCAACAACAGGCAGGUCUGACUCUCCCUGGAAGAAGCCCCAGCCAACUACGUGCCAGCAGCUGCGGUAAUACGGAGGGGGCGAGCGUUAUUCGGAAUUACUGGGUGUAAAGGGGGCGUAGGAGGCCUUUCAAGUUGGAUGUGAAAUCUCCGGGCUUAACUGGGAGGGGUCAUCCAAAACUGCUAGGCUGGAGGACAGCAGGGGAAAGUGGAAUUCCCGGUGUAGUGGUGAAAUGCGUAGAUAUCGGGAGGAACACCAGUGGCGAAGGCGGCUUUCCAGGCUGUUUCUGACGCUGAGGCCCUAAAGUGUGGGGAGCGAACA